CAGACAUCCAAAGAAUCUUGAUUCUACUCGUCCAACAUGCUUUGGAACGUUCUUCUCCUCCUCCUCUAUUGCUGCUCAGAUGUCCUCAGCCAGGGUCUCUUAACUCAGCCACUUAAACUGUCUGUACCUAAUGGAGGUGCCACUUCACAGCCCACCUUGACUCAGUCUGUCUCCCAGUCUGGAUCUCCAGGAGAGACAAUUAAAAUCUCCUGUGUCAUCAGCAGCAAUCCCAACAACGUUCGCUGGCUUCAGCAGAGAUCUGGGGAAGCCCCUCGCUUUGUGCACUGUGAUGGCUGCAGCAGCAGAGGAGAAGGGAUCCCAGACCGAUUCACGGCAAUCCGAUCGGGCAAUAAUGGCUACUUAACUAUCACCAACCUUCAGGCUGAAGACUAGGCCGAUUAUUACUGUUGCAUGUGGUAUAGCAGUGGUAA